rnacentral:rRNA from 1 species
UACGGGGGGAGCAAGCGUUGUUCGGAUUUACUGGGCGUAAAGGGCGCGUAGGCGGCCAGCACAAGUCAGUUGUGAAAUCUCCGAGCUUAACUCGGAAAGGUCAACUGAUACUGUGCGGCUAGAGUGCAGAAGGGGCAACUGGAAUUCUUGGUGUAGCGGUGAAAUGCGUAGAUAUCAAGAGGAACACCUGCGGCGAAGGCGGGUUGCUGGGCUGACACUGACGCUGAGGCGCGAAAGCUAGGGGAGCGAACAGG